UCCAUGUGCCAAGAAAAGCCGCUAUAGAUCAUACCGUACCCGUACCGUAAACCGACACAGGUAGAUGAGGAGAGAAUCCUAAGGCCGACGGGAGAAGCAUUGUUAAGGAACUCGGCAAAAUGACCCCGUAACUUCGGGAGAAGGGGUGCCCACGCGAGUGGGCCGCAGAGAAUAGGCUCAAGCAACUGUUUAGCAAAAACACAGGUCUAUGCGAAACCGAAAGGUGAGGUAUAUGGGCUGACGCCUGCCCGGUGCUGGAAGGUUAAGAGGAGGAGUCAGGCAACGAAGCUCCGAAUUUAAGCCCCAGUAAACGGCGGCCGUAACUAUAACGGUCCUAAGGUAGCGAAAUUCCUUGUCGGGUAAGUUCCGACCCGCACGAAAGGCGUAAUGAUUUGAGCACUGUCUCGACAAUGCACCCGGUGAAAUUGAAGUACCAGUGAAGAUGCUGGUUACCUGCGCCAGGACGGAAAGACCCCAUGGAGCUUUACUCCAGUUUGAUACUGGGAUUCGAUACUGAAUGUACAGGAUAGGUGGGAGGCUGAGAAGCGUGGACGCCAGUCUGCGGUGAGCCGCUGUUGGGAUACCACCCUUUGAGUAUUGGAUUUCUAACCUGCGCCCGUGACCCGGGCGGGGGACAAUGUCUGACGGGGAGUUUGACUGGGGCGGUCGCCUCCGAAAGGGUAUCGGAGGCGCUCAAAGGUUCCCUCAGAAUGGUUGGAAACCAUUCGCAGAGUGCAAAGGCAGAAGGGAGCUUGACUGUGACACCGACGGGUGGAGCAGGUACGAAAGUAGGACUUAGUGAUCCGGUGGUAUGAAAGUGGGAUUGCCAUCGCUCAACGGAUAAAAGCUACCCUGGGAUAACAGGCUUAUCACUCCCAAGAGUUCACAUCGACGGAGUGGUUUGGCACCUCGAUGUCGGCUCAUCGCAUCCUGGGGCUGUAGCAGGUCCCAAGGGUUGGGCUGUUCGCCCAUUAAAGCGGUACGCGAGCUGGGUUCAGAACGUCGUGAGACAGUUCGGUCCCUAUCCGGCGCAGGCGUAGGAUAUUUGAGAGGAGCUGUCCUUAGUACGAGAGGACCGGGAUGGACAGACCGCUGGUGUAUCUGUUGGUGACCAACACCAUGGCAGAGUAGCCAAGUCUGGCAGGGAUAAACGCUGAAGGCAUCUAAGCGUGAAGCCCCCCUCAAGAUGAGAUAUCCCAAUAAGUAAGACCCCUUAGAGAGUAUGAGGUAGAUAGGCUUAAGGUGUAAGCAUAGUAAUAUGUUCAGCUGAUAAGUACUAAUAGGUCGAGGGCUUAUCCUU
rnacentral:rRNA from 1 species